GUGCCUUUAUCCAUCUUAUUCACCGAACCUGACCCUGUGGCUUCUAGCUCUUCCUCAAGGUCAAAGUGAUCCUGAAAGCUGCAAAAUGAAAAUGUGGAAACAUGUACUGGGUCACAAAGGGAACCACAUGACGGGAAUAGCCAUGGAAACCUCAAGUCACUACUGGAAAAACAACUCAAAGAAAUAGCCAGGCACUGUGAAGGCAAAGCAUGUAUGCACAGAUUAUGUAGGAAGCACUGACCAAACACUGUUGACAGGAAUUCAAAAUACCUAGCAUCUUUAAUAUGAGGUUUUACCUGAGAGUCCAAGAUGGCCACUCGGGCUUCCAGGCAGCAGGAAGAAAAAAGGGAUGAAGAAGGACACUUUCUGGAAAUUGUUCGUGAUACUUUUACCUGUUAAUGAUUUUAUUACCAAAGAAUAAGGGGGAAACAACUACUGGGGGACAAUGAGCUUCCUCUUCUGCCCCCUCCUAAAAGGAAUCCUGACUGAGAAGAAAGUCUGUCCUGAA